ACAGCAGUAGCCACGGUAAUACGGAGGGUGCAAGCGUUAUCCGGAUUUAUUGGGUUUAAAGGGUCCGUAGGCGGAUCUGUAAGUCAGUGGUGAAAUCUCACAGCUUAACUGUGAAACUGCCAUUGAUACUGCAGGUCUUGAGUAAAUUUGAAGUGGCUGGAAUAAGUAGUGUAGCGGUGAAAUGCAUAGAUAUUACUUAGAACACCAAUUGCGAAGGCAGGUCACUAAGAUUUAACUGACGCUGAUGGACGAAAGCGUGGGGAGCGAACAGGAUUAGAUACCCCUGUAGUCCCUGUCUCUUAUAC
rnacentral:rRNA from 1 species